rnacentral:ncRNA from 1 species
AAUGGACUGGCCUGCCUGGCAGGCCCUGGCUGACUGUUGCCUGAAGAAGGGUAA